rnacentral:rRNA from 1 species
GACGUAGGAGGCGAGCGUUAUCCGGAUUCACUGGGCGUAAAGCGCGUGUAGGCGGUUCGGCAAGUCGGUUGUGAAAGCCCCUGGCUCAACUGGGGGAGGUCAGCCGAAACUGCGGGACUGGAGGGUCAGAGAGGAAGGUGGAAUUCCCGGUGUAGCGGUGGAAUGCGUAGAGAUCGGGAGGAACACCAGUGGCGAAAGCGGCCUUCUGGCUGACAUCUGACGCUGAGACGCGAAAGCGUGGGUAGCAAAC